GGGAUUUUUAACUCAUCACUCUUUUUCAAAACAGCGCGGUAAACAAGAUGACGUCGCAGCUCAUCUCUUCUCCUGCUUUUCUUCCGUUGUUACAAAGGACACGAUUCAAUGAAUCAUUCAAUCGAUGUACUUGUAUUUCUGAGACAGUACACAACGCUAUAUUAGGGAGGUCAGAGAUGAUUAUCCUUGAGGGUCGUGUGAUUUGUGAGGCCGUAUACCCAAGAUUUCGGACUGCAAGAUUUCUACUGUUCGCAAUGUACUACGUCUUAAAUCUUCAGUAUCCAGCAUGUGGCACAUUGGAUUUUAUUUAGAAACAAUUUGUCGGAUAAACCCUGAAAAAAGCUCGAAGACCAGCAAAGUCAAGGUCGUUAAGAAAACUGGAAAGAAUGUGAAUAAGAAGACUGCUACUGUCAACCCAGAAGUUGCAUCCCUCCUAAAGAACCUCAUCCGUUUCGAAUGGGAUUUUGUCUAGACCUGGAUUUCCUCUCAAACCAGAGCAAUCAGAAGCUGGAGUAAGACACUUACAUUUUUUUCCAACAAUUAGUUUGAUUAAUGUGUUCUUCAUUUCAUGCCAGGUUUUUAAAAUAUGUUGUGCCAUGCUGGCAGUUUUUUCUUCUUGUUGUAAGUUUGUUUUUAGCUCCUUGAGUUGCACUUUUUUCUGUGAUUUCUGUUUUUAACUCUUUCCCGCCAUUGACAAGUUUUUAUAGCAAUCCGUAUUUCCGCUAUUAUGGCGCUCUUACCCAACUUAUACAACCUGGAAGCAACCCCUCAGGUCAAACAAUUCAAACUCAGUGUAUGUUUUGAUUAUUGCUCCGGAUUUCUAUCAGAAGUCUUUUGAAGAAACCUACACAUAUUUGAGAGGUGGUAAAAAAAGAACUAAUUAAGGUAGGAUGAAUUUUUUUUAUUGUUGUUUGAAAGCAGAGGGGUUUGUUAUUUUAUUUGAUUCGAUUUGAUAUAUUGAAGGUUUAUAUGGUUAAAGAAGAAUGUUUUCUUGAAGGCAUUAAACUUUUGUAAAAAUCUUUUAAAACGCUGGCACUGGCUAUUAACUUUUUUUUAAAAACACUGGCGGGGAAAGAGUUAACAUACUGUUAAAUUCACUUUAACUGUUACUCCGUAGCUCCUUCAAUUGCACUUUAUUUUUGUGAUGUGGUCUUACUUUACUCUGUGGUUGCUUUUUAAUGGCACCUUUUCUCUGUGACAGUGCAUUUAUUGUUAAACAUACUUGUAAAUGUUUACAGUGCUAAAAGAUUGUUUAAAGAUUGUAAUAACAGUUGUAUUAAUAAAUGGAAAAUUGAGCACUAUGUCAGUCAUUUCUCUUUUUUUAUUAGUUGUUAGGAUAUCAGACAGUAGAGUAAAUAUUAACUAACUUGUGUUAUGUUUCACAACUUAAAAAUGUAAGAAAACAAACCGUAAUGAGUGUG